rnacentral:rRNA from 1 species
UACGGAGGAUGCAAGCGUUGUUCGGAAUCACUGGGCUUAAAGAGCGUGUAGGUGGGGUGUCAGGCGUCGGGUGAAAUCCCUCGGCUCAACCGAGGAACUGCCUGGCGAACCGACAUUCUUGAGGCAGGUAGAGGUGGCUGGAACGACGGGUGGAGCGGUGAAAUGCGUAGAUAUCCGUUGGAACGCCGGCGGCGAAAGCGAGCCACUGGGCCUGUCCUGACACUGAGACACGAAAGCGUGGGUAGCAAACAGG